UACGUAGGGGGCAAGCGUUGUCCGGAUUUAUUGGGCGUAAAGAGCGUGUAGGCGGUUUGGUAGGUCCGCUGUGAAAACUCGAGGCUCAACCUCGAGACGUCGAUGGAAACCAUCUAGCUAGAGUCCGGAAGAGGAGAGUGGAAUUCCUGGUGUAGCGGUGAAAUGCGCAGAUAUCAGGAAGAACACCCGUGGCGAAGGCGGCUCUCUGGGACGGUACUGACGCUGAGACGCGAAAGCGUGGGGAGCGAACAGG
rnacentral:rRNA from 1 species